rnacentral:lncRNA from 1 species
GGGUUGGAAAACUUUUCUCCUUUUGAGGGCUUCGGUGGAUACACUGACACUGCAGUCCCCCGGUCGGGGUCAUAAUGAAUUGAACUUAUCUAUUGCAAAUCAGAUAAUGCUGAUAAGAUUCUCUUUGCAGUGCCUACACAGCACUACGGUGUAUGCAUGUAAAUUAUUCUCCUGGAUUAGUACCUGUUUGAUGGACUUGAUUUUGUUUUUAAACUACGUUAUAUUUUAAGAUCAACAAUGCCAAAUUGGAAGAUGUUUUCCCUGGACUAACUCACUAUUUCCACUGCUCAAAGCAGAUCCUCAGGUGUGUAGUAAGAGACCAUUUCUGUCUUUCAAAAGCUUAAUAUGUGUGUAUCCUGCUGAAUUCUUCAGGAUUUUUUGUGGGGAGCAUGUUUACUCAAGAGACUAUGUUUAUACUGUCUGUUUGCCUUUACUUGCUUUCACCAUACACUGGAGGGCUUGCAUAGCUGCUGGAAGUAACUGAUGGAUGAGUACCUGCUAGGAGGUGGAUCUAUCUUCAGGCCUAACCUUGCAAGCCCUCUGCAUGCGUGAUGAGUGUAGACUGGGAAAAUCUCUCUACAUGCAAAAUGAGUAUGGAUUGGGAAACAUCUUUAAAAUAAGUGAUUUUAGCUCCAUGAAAGAUUAAGUAUAAAGCAAGAUUUCUUGACUUGCUUCAGGGGAGAGAAGUUGAACCAAUAAAGAGAAAAAUGAAGAAAAUUAAUGGCA